rnacentral:rRNA from 1 species
AUUGAACGCUGGCGGAAUGCUUUACACAUGCAAGUCGAACGGUAGAGGGGGCAACCCCUCGAGAGUGGCGAACGGGUGAGUAAUAUAUCGGAACGUGCCCAGUCGUGGGGGAUAACGUAGCGAAAGUUACGCUAAUACCGCAUACGAUCUAAGGAUGAAAGCGUGGGAUCGCAAGACCUCGCGCGAUUGGAGCGGCCGAUAUCAGAUUAGGUAGUUGGUGGGGUAAAGGCUCACCAAGCCAACGAUCUGUAGCUGGUCUGAGAGGACGACCAGCCACACUGGAACUGAGAUACGGUCCAGACUCCUACGGGAGGCAGCAGUGGGGAAUUUUGGACAAUGGACGCAAGUCUGAUCCAGCCAUUCCGCGUGCAGGAUGAAGGCCCUCGGGUUGUAAACUGCUUUUGUACGGAACGAAAAGGUCUCUCUUAAUACGGGGGACUCAUGACGGUACCGUAAGAAUAAGCACCGGCUAACUACGUGCCAGCCGCCGCAGUAACAC